UACGUAGGUGACCAGCGUUGUCCGGAUUUACUGGGCGUAAAGAGCGCGCAGGCGGUCGAGUAAGUCGAAUGUGAAAGCCCCCGGCUUAACUGGGGAGGGUCAUUCGAUACUGUUCGACUUGAAGGCAGGAGAGGGCAGCAGAAUUCCCGGUGUAGUGGUGAAAUGCGUAGAUAUCGGGAGGAAUACCAGUGGCGAAGGCGGCUGCCUGGCCUGUUCUUGACGCUGAGGCGCGAAAGCUGGGGGAGCAAACGGG
rnacentral:rRNA from 1 species